GGAGACUCAGGUUCGAUUUCUGGCUCGGGAAGAUCCCCUGGAGAAAGAAAUGGCAACACACUCAGGUGAGUGAACUAGAGAGAUGAAUGCUGCCUGCCUGACCCUGACCUUCAGAACUACCUGCAUCCCCAGGAAGACCCGAGGUGCAGCCACUGCCUGUCACAGCCAGCCCCCAUCUGCCCCUGCUCCACCCCCACCCUCUUCAUGGGGGCGGGGGAGGGGGGGAGAAGGCACCUGGAGGCAAGCCAGACUGAACUGGUUCCUACUUGAACUGGGAAACGUGGAGAAAGGAUGCCAGGAUUGGGGACAGGGCGUAGAGGCCUCCCACACCCUGGAACAAGAUCUGUGUGGGCCACCCAUCAGCAGUUUAGGGACAGCCGAUGACGGAUCCCUGUGCUUUCUCCAGGGAGAAGGCACAGAGACCUCAACAACCCCAGGCAUCAGUAGGACUAGACUGAGAAUGCCACCCAGGUCUGCAGUGGGACAGCCAGAUCAGGGAGGAGAGGGGAACUGGCACCCUGUCUUUGCACCGUGCUCCCCAACAGGCCCCCGAGGAGCCACACGACAGAGGACAAGGCUGAUGAGGGUCACAGAGGAGCAGGGCUGGCACCACUGGAUAAUUGCCCACAGGGACAAGGCAGCCUUGGCCGGAACCCAAAGAUAUACAGCCAAGAGAGACGAAAACCUGCGUCCACACAGAAGUCUCUAUGCAAGUGUUCAUGGCAGCAUUAUUCCUGAUGGCAGAAGACUGGAAACAACCCAACUGUCCACCAAUUGAUAAAUGUAGAAGAAAAUGUAUGUCCAUGCAAUGGAAUAUUAUUUGGCCGUAAAAGGAAUGAAAUACUGACAUAUGCUAUGACAUGGAUGUAUCUUGAAAGCACUAAGACAAAGAAGCCAGUGGCAAAAGGGCACAUAUUGUAUGAUUCCAUUUCUAUAAAAAUAUACAGACUAGGAAAAUCCAUGGAGACAGAAAGUAGAUGAGUGGUUGCCAGGGGAAGAGGAGGGGAGGAAUAUGCUAAAAAGUGUUGAUUUCUGUACUUUAAAUGAGUGAAUUGUGCAGUAUAUGAAUUACAUCUCAAAAAAGCUGUUUAGGGACUUGCCUCAUGGUCCAGUGGUUAAGACUCAGAGCUUCCAAAGCAGUGGGGCAUGGGUUUGAUCCCUGUUCAGGGAACUAAGAUCCCACGUGCUGCGUGGUUUGGCCAAAUAAUAAAUCAAUAAAUAAGUUGUUUAAACAGAAAUAAAAAUCAAGUCUAAUAGAUACAGCUAUGGCUAAUUCAAAACAAGACAGCAGAGCAUCAGGGCAGGUGCUAUGGACUGAAUAUAUUCCUGGAAGAUUCAUAUGUUGAAAUCCUAACCACUUCCCGGGCAGUGCAGUGGUGAAGAACCUGCCUGUCAAUGCAGGAGACAGAAAAGACAUGGGU
ensembl:lncRNA